rnacentral:lncRNA from 1 species
AGCAAACUGAGAGGUGACCCAUUAAAUGUGAAGAAUAUUUUUUCUACUACUUGGGAAAUUUUCUGGAACCCAGAAUUUCUUGAACCUUUACACUAUGAGAAGGCUGGAAAACUAUCUCAUUGCCUACGGCAGAAUGCUCAGUAGCUGCUGAGGGAUGAGAUCACUAGGAGGAUGGGUCGGGCACAGCUCCCCUAUUCAACUUAGAAGACAAACAAGGGCAAACACAACAUCAUGACCAGCUCCAAGAACAUAAAAGGAUCCCAUGCAGAGACCUGGCAGAGCAAGAACCAAAAAAAAAAAAGGAGAGAAAAGAGAAAUAAAGAGGGGAAGAAAAUCUAUCAAGCAAAGAAAAGGGGGUGGUGUUUCUAUUCUUGACAGCCCAUUUUAAAAAAUAAAUGUGAUUUGGUAUUUGAGUAGCAGACUUCUUUCAUUGGAAAGGGGGUGUUACUACAUUGGCUUGCAUAAUCACUUUACAUACUGCAUCUAUUAAGGUACUUAUUCAUUUCUAUUUUGGAUGGUUAUGAGCCUAUCUGUUUUUUCCUAUAGAAUAUGGGCUCUUCAAGAGCCAGAAGUAUGCUGUAUGCCUCUGCCAAAAAAAGUUCCCUGCACAAAGCAGAUAUUCACUAUUUGUAUUUGAAUAAAUGUUGAAG